AAUUUGCGUGAGGGAUUGAAGUGAAAAUCCUUUUACUUUUCUUCAAAAAAGUAAAAGAUUGUAACGUAAAGCCCGACCCUUG
rnacentral:sRNA from 1 species